UAACCUACCCAUCAGAGGGGGAUAACACUUGGAAACAGGUGCUAAUACCGCAUAACAGUUUAUGCCGCAUGGCAUAAGAGUGAAAGGCGCUUUCGGGUGUCGCUGAUGGAUGGACCCGCGGUGCAUUAGCUAGUUGGUGAGGUAACGGCUCACCAAGGCCACGAUGCAUAGCUGACCUGAGAGGGUGAUCGGCCACACUGGGACUGAGACACGGCCCAGACUCCUACGGGAGGCAGCAUG
rnacentral:rRNA from 1 species